rnacentral:rRNA from 1 species
UACAGAGGGUGCAAGCGUUAAUCGGAAUUACUGGGCGUAAAGCGCGCGUAGGUGGUUUUGUUAAGUUGGAUGUGAAAUCCCCGGGCUCAACCUGGGAACUGCAUCCAAAACUGGCAAGCUAGAGUAUGGUAGAGGGUGGUGGAAUUUCCUGUGUAGCGGUGAAAUGCGUAGAUAUAGGAAGGAACACCAGUGGCGAAGGCGACCACCUGGACUGACACUGACACUGAGGUGCGAAAGCGUGGGGAGCAAACAGG